GACGAGGGGAAGGAGACUUCAUCUUCAGAAGGAGAGAUGCCCUGAGGCUGACGAGGGGAAGGAGAGAUGCCCUGAGGCUGACAAGGGGAAGGAGAGAUGCCCUGAGGCUGACGAGGGGAAGGAGACUUCAUCUUCAGGAGGAGAGAUGCCCUGAGGCUGAUGAGGGGAUGGAGAGAUGCCCUGAGGCUGACGAGGGGAAGGAGAGAUGCCCUGAGGUUGACGAGGGGAAGGAGAGAUCCCCUGAGGCUGAUGAGGGGCAGUAGACUUCAUCUUCAGAAGGAGAGAUGCCCUGAGGCUGAUGAGGGGAAGGAGACUUCCUCUUCAGAAGGAGAGAUGCCCUGAGGCUGACGAGGGGAAGGAGAGAUGCCCUGAGGCUGACAAGGGGAAGGAGAGAUGCCCUGAGGCUGAUGAGGGGAAGGAGAGAUCCCUGAGGCUGACGAGGGGCAGGAGACUUCAUCUUCAGAAGGAGAGAUGCGCUGAUGUUGACGAGGGGAUGGAGAGAUGCUCUGAGGCCGACAAGGGGAAGGAGAGAUGCCCUGACACUGACGAGGGGAAGGAGAUUUAAUCUUCAGAAGGAGAGAUGCCCUGAGGCUGACGAGGGGAAGGAGAGAUGCCCUGAGGCUGACGAGGGGAAGGAGAGAUGUCCUGAGGCUGACGAGGGGAAGGAGAGAUGCCAUGAGGCUGACGAGGGGAAGGAGAGAUGAACUGAGGCUGACGAGGGGAAGGAGACUUCAUCUUCAGAAGGAGAGAUGCCCUGAGGAUGACGAGGGGAAGGAGACUUCAUCUUCAGAAGUAGAGAUGCCCUGAGGCCGACGAGGGGAAACAGACUUCAUCUUCAGAAGGAGAGAUGCCCUGAGGCCGAUGAGGGGAAGGAGACUUAAUCUUCAGAAGGAGAGAUGCCCUGAGGCUGACGAGGGGAAGGAGACUUCAUCUUCAGAAGGAGAGAUGCCCUGAGGCUGACGAGGGGAAGGAGAGAUGCCCUGAGGCUGACAAGGGGAAGGAGACUUCAUCUUCAGAAGGAGAGAUGCCCUGAGGAUGCCGAGGGGAAGGAGACUUCAUCUUCAGAAGGAGAGAUGCCCUGUUGCUGACGAGGGGAAGGAGAGAUGCCCUGAGGCUGACGAGGGGAAAGAGAGAUGCCCUGAGGCUGACGAGGGGAAGGAGACUUCAUCUUCAGGAGGAGAGAUGCCCUGAGGCUGACUAGGGGAUGGAGAGAUGCCCUGAGGCUGACAAGGGGAAGGAGAGAUGCCCUGAGGCUGACGAGGGGCUGGAGACUUCAUCUUCAGAAGGAGAGAUGCGCUGAG
rnacentral:lncRNA from 1 species